rnacentral:rRNA from 1 species
CAGCCGCCGCGGGAAUGCGAAGGGGGCUAGCGUUGCUCUGAAUCACUGGGCGUAAAGGGUGCGUAGGCGGGUCUUUAAGUCAGGGGUGAAAUCCUGGAGCUCAACUCCAGAACUGCCUUUGAUACUGAAGAUCUUGAGUUCGGGAGAGGUGAGUGGAACUGCGAGUGUAGAGGUGAAAUUCGUAGAUAUUCGCAAGAACACCAGUGGCGAAGGCGGCUCACUGGCCCGAUACUGACGCUGAGGCACGAAAGCGUGGGGAGCAAACAGGAUUAGAUACCCCUGUAGUCCCUGUCUCUUAUAC